AUGUAGAAUAAGAGCCUGAUAUAUAUGACCCUAGGGGAAUGUAUAUGAGGUGGCAUGUAGAAUAAGAGCCUGAUAUAUAUGACCCUAGGGGAAUGUAUAUGAGGUGGCAUGUAGAAUAAGAGCCUGAUAUAUAUGACCCUAGGGGAAUGUAUAUGAGGUGGCAUGUAGAAUAAGAGCCUGAUAUAUAUGACCCUAGGGGAAUGUAUAUGAGGUGGCAUGUAGAAUAAGAGCCUGAUAUAUAUGACCCUAGGGGAAUGUAUAUGAGGUGGCAUGUAGAAUAAGAGCCUGAUAUAUAUGACCCUAGGGGAAUGUAUAUGAGGUGGCAUGUAGAAUAAGAGCCUGAUAUAUAUGACCCUAGGGGAAUGUAUAUGAGGUGGCAUGUAGAAUAAGAGCCUGAUAUAUAUGACCCUAGGGGAAUGUAUAUGAGGUGGCAUGUAGAAUAAGAGCCUGAUAUAUAUGACCCUAGGGGAAUGUAUAUGAGGUGGCAUGUAGAAUAAGAGCCUGAUAUAUAUGACCCUAGGGGAAUGUAUAUGAGGUGGCAUGUAGAAUAAGAGCCUGAUAUAUAUGACCCUAGGGGAAUGUA